GACGAACCGUGCGAACGUUGUUCGGAUUCACUGGGCUUAAAGGGCGCGUAGGCGGGCGGUCAAGUUAGGGGUGAAAUCUUUCGGCUCAACCGGAAAAGUGCCUUUGAUACUGGCCGUCUCGAGGGAGGUAGGGGCAUGCGGAACUUCCGGUGGAGCGGUGAAAUGCGUAGAUAUCGGAAGGAACGCCGGUGGUGAAAGCGGCGUGCUGGACCUCUUCUGACGCUGAGACACGAAAGCGUGGGUAGCAAACAGG
rnacentral:rRNA from 1 species